UACGUAGGGGGGCAAGCGUUGUCCGGAAUCAUUGGGCGUAAAGAGCGUGUAGGCGGUCCGGUAAGUCGGUUGUGAAAGUCCAGGGCUCAACCCUGGGAUGCCGACCGAUACUGUCGGACUAGAGUUCGGAAGAGGCGAGUGGAAUUCCCGGUGUAGCGGUGAAAUGCGCAGAUAUCUGGAGGAAUACCGGUGGCGAAGGCGGCAUCCUGGACCGGCAUUGACGCUGAGGAGCGAAAGCUAGGGGAGCAAACGGG
rnacentral:rRNA from 1 species